rnacentral:sRNA from 1 species
CUCAUUAUGUGUAAAUAACACACAUGUAUCGACACAUACUCCGGGGUGCCUGAACGCCUGCGUAAGCAGUCUGCCGGGUCGGUUGUAUGGGAUACAUGGAGGCUUAAC